rnacentral:tRNA from 1 species
UGUUUCUAUAGUUGAAUUACAACGAUGAUUUUUCAUGUCAUUAGUCACAGUUAAAUGCUGUGUAGAAAUAA